GCGGGGCCCAACGCAAGGGGGCGGGGCCGGGGCCGGAACAGACUUCGAUCCCUGCUAGGGAGAAAAACCGUUUUUUGUCCACGCUGGGUUUGGAAGGGAGCUCAGGGAGAGGCCUGAGAGCAAACCUGAGGCCGUUCUUUCUUUCAUUCGUUCAGCUUGGAAAUCCGAAGUCAAAACUGAAUGGAACUGCCGUUCUAACCAGUUCACUUACCUGAGCCGCAAUUUUCUCUUUAGUAAAAUGGGCCAAAUGAUACCACAUGGAUUAUACGUAAAGUUGCAAUAUGUCAAGUACCUAGCACACCCCAGAUCUUCCACCCUGCUCCCCUCCAGAUGAGAACACAAAGGCUCAGAGAGAUAAAGUCACUUGUCUGUGACCACACAGGCAGGAAGUUGCAGCGCUGGAGACAAUCCUGAGAAUGAUUUCUGAUUGACACGCUCCAUGGCAACUCUAUCAGGUUAAUUUUACAUACAGUGAUAUGCAUAGAUCUCAAGUAUACCAUCUACUAAAUUGUGACAAAUGCAUACAACCGUGGAAUCCACACCCCUAACAAGGUACUGAGAGAACAUUAUCAACACCUCCAAAAAUUCCCUCCUGCCAGAGGCAACCACUAUUGUGAUUUUUUCACCAUUGAUUAGGUUUUACCUAUUCUAGAAUAUUGUACAAAUAGAAUUAUAAAUUGUACACUCUUAUAUAAGGCUUCUUUCUUUUUGCAUGAUGUCUGAGACAUCUAUUUUGUGUAAUUCUUUAAUUUCCUGGUAGUAUUCCAUUGCCAUGAAUGUCUAAACGCAGUUUAUCCAUUUUCUUGUUGAUGGAACACACAAAGUUUUAAACACUUUAAACUGGUUGCCAGUGUUGUAGGCUUGACUUCAAAUCCUGGCUCUGCUACUUGCUAGAUGUGUGACCAUGUGCUGGUUACUUUGUGUCCUUGAGACUCAGUUUCCCAGUCUCCAUAAUGGAAAAAAUUAUAGCUAUUGCUUAUUGAGUGCUUGCUAUGUGCCUGCUUGGCACUGUUUCAAGUGUUUUACAUACUCAUUACUCAUUUAAUCCUCAUAAUGACCCACAAGAUAGGGUAUGUUACUACUUCCAUUUUAUAGAUUUGGAAACUGAGCACCCAACCUAGGUUGCUGGGAGUAUUCAGUGAGAUAGUGCAUGUAAAACACUUGGGACUCCAUUUGGUAAUUACAAUGUAGAAAGUAAACAUUGGCUGUUAUUUUUCAUCUUACCUUACUGGCCCUUAGAGGAAUUUAAGUUUACUACCCCUAAUGGAGAAAGUGUAUAAGGCCCUGGGAACAGGCGUUUCCAGAUAAAAUGGAGAUGUCCAGUAAAAUCUGAAUUUUAUUUUAUUUUAAAGUUCACUUAUUUUGAGAGAGAGCUACUGUGGGCAUGUGUGCGCACAGGUGAAUGCAAGCGGGGGAAGGGCAGAGACAGAGGAUCCCAAGCAGGCCCAUGCUGUCAGCGCAGAGCCUGAUACAGGU